rnacentral:rRNA from 1 species
GACGAACGCUGGCGGCGUGCCUAAUACAUGCAAGUAGAACGCUGAAGGAGGAGCUUGCUUCUCUGGAUGAGUUGCGAACGGGUGAGUAACGCGUAGGUAACCUGCCUGGUAGCGGGGGAUAACUAUUGGAAACGAUAGCUAAUACCGCAUAAUAGUAGAUGUUGCAUGACAUUUGCUUAAAAGGUGCAAUUGCAUCACUACCAGAUGGACCUGCGUUGUAUUAGCUAGUUGGUGAGGUAACGGCUCACCAAGGCGACGAUACAUAGCCGACCUGAGAGGGUGCUCGGCCACACUGGGACUGAGACACGGCCCAGACUCCUACGGGAGGCAGCAGUAGGGAAUCUUCGGCAAUGGACGGAAGUCUGAACGAGCAACGCCGCGUGAGUGAAGAAGGUUUUCGGAUCGUAAAGCUCUGUUGUAAGAGAAGAACGAGUGUGAGAGUGGAAAGUUCACACUGUGACGGUAUCUUACCAGAAAGGGACGGCUAACUCCGUG